CCCCAUCACAGGCAUUCACUGUAUAUACUUUUUUAAAACCUGCUCUUAAAGUAGAUUGAACUUGAUCAGUGUAUUAUUUUACAGAUGAACAGACCAGUGUAAAGAUCAACCUUUCUUAGUAACAGGACUACAUUCAGUAAUAAGAUCACUCCUGAAAAUGUAUUUCCACAAAGACGCUCUGUAUUAAACUACAAAAGUGAUGGCUUUAGAGUUUUGCGGCCUUCAGAGGUCUUGGAUGCUACCCAAACUACAUCACAAUGUUGGCAUCUUUGAAGCAUAAAAAUACAUCAAUGCAAGAUAAUGCUGUUCCAUUUUUUUUUCUUAUGUAAG